GGCCCCAUAGCUCAGUUGGAUAGAGCAGCCGCCUUCUAAGCGGCAGGUCGCAGGUUCGAAUCCUGCUGGGUCGCCA
rnacentral:tRNA from 1 species